rnacentral:rRNA from 1 species
UACGUAGGUGGCAAGCGUUGUCCGGAUUUACUGGGCGUAAAGAGCGCGCAGGCGGUCGAUCAAGUCGCGUGUGAAAGCCCCCGGCUCAACUGGGGAGGGUCACGCGAUACUGAUCGACUCGAAGGCAGGAGAGGGUAGUGGAAUUCCCGGUGUAGUGGUGAAAUGCGUAGAUAUCGGGAGGAACACCAGUGGCGAAGGCGACUACCUGGCCUGUUUCUUGACGCUGAGGCGCGAAAAGCUAGGGGAGCAAACGGGG